CUGACAGCUGGUUUGAACCAUCCUCUGUUCUCUCUUUGCCCUUCUUCUGGGCACUUUCUUAGGGAGAUUAUCUUGGAGUAUGCAGGUAUGCCCAAUGGGAUCACAAGAGUCCUCAAACAUGGAAGCGGAAAGCAGGAGAGAGUGGCAAUGGGAGCAGAGUCAGAAAGAUGCUGUGUUUCUGGCUUUGAUGAUGGAAGGGGACCAUGAGCUGAGGAUGCAGGCGGAAGUCACAAAAGCUGAACUGAGAGAUGCCAUCAGUCCUGAAGAGGCCUCCUGGUGGAGAUGUGGAGGACACAGCAUCCUGCAUGGAUCAACAGAGACUGAAGGACAGACAGACACGCCAUGGAGGCAGCACAUAUCAGUGGGACAGAUA